GAUGAAGAACGUAGCGAAAUGCGAAAAGUAAUGUGAAUUGCAGAAUUCAGUGAAUCAUCGAAUCUUUGAACGCACAUUGCGCCCGCUGGUACUCCGGCGGGCACGCCUGUCCGAGCGUCAUUUCAACCCUCAAGCCCUCCUUCGGGAUGGGCCUGGUGUUGGGGCUCGGCCGCCAUCUCCGGCGGCCGUCCCCUAAAUACAGUGGCGGUCACGUCGCGACUCCUUUGCGUAGUAGAAACACCUCGCUCCGGAUAGCAACGCGGUCCACGCCGUAAAACCCCCAAUUUUCAAUGGUUGACCUCGGAUCAGGUGGGAAUACCCGCUGAACUUAAGCAUAUAAUAAGCGGAGGA
rnacentral:misc_RNA from 1 species